UGCAGUCGAUCGCUCUUUUCGGAGAGAGAGGCGCACGGGUGAGUAACACGUGGGAAUAUACCCUUGAGUACGGAAUAACUAUUGGAAACGAUAGCUAAUACCGUAUACGCCCUACGGGGGAAAGAUUUAUCGCUCAAGGAUUAGCCCGCGUCUGAUUAGCUAGUUGGUGAGGUAAUGGCUCACCAAGGCGACGAUCAGUAGCUGGUUUGAGAGAAUGAUCAGCCACACUGGGACUGAGACACGGCCCAGACUCCUACGGGAGGCAGCAGUGGGGAAUAUUGGACAAUGGGCGCAAGCCUGAUCCAGCCAUGCCGCGUGAGUGAAGAAGGCCUUCGGGUUGUAAAGCUCUUUCAGACGUGAAGAUGAUGACGGUAACGUCAGAAGAAGCCCCGGCUAACUUCGUGCCAGCAGCCGCGGUAAUACGAAGGGGGCAAGCGUUGUUCGGAAUUACUGGGCGUAAAGCGCGCGUAGGCGGCGUCGUCAGUCAGAGGUGAAAUCCCAGGGCUCAACCUUGGAAUUGCCUUUGAUACUGCGAUGCUUGAGUUCGAGAGAGGGUGGCGGAAUACCCAGUGUAGAGGUGAAAUUCGUAGAUAUUGGGUAGAACACCAGUGGCGAAGGCGGCCACCUG
rnacentral:rRNA from 1 species